ensembl:lncRNA
GGAUGAAGUGCCUCUCAGACUCAGACCAGAGCUCCUGGUAGGUGUCCUUGGGAUGGAGAAACCACAAGGCUAGCAGCACCCACCACACCUGCAUACACUGUUUCCGUAUUACCUUUACUAUUUCUCCUGGUAAUACUUCUACUGAUGGGGGUAAGGCUGCUUUUCUGAAGCCCGGGUAGCAUUAAGGAGAUGCCAUAAAACCUGUGGUUUUUCAGCCUGGACUGUAGUAAGGAGAUUCCCACACGCUGGUGAGAAAUUUCCUUAGAGUUGUUGUUCAUUCCAGGCAACAAAAUCAAUGUGAGCCUGAUGCAAGCCCUGAUGGGAGAGAUCCAAGCGAUUUCUGCUGAAGAGCCGUUUCUGUCAUUGAUAAUGGACUGGAAAAAAAGCAUCAGUGCAUCAUCCAAAGUGUUUAAUCGCCUGUACUCAUCGUGGUCAGUCAAGCACUCGGCCAUUAUAAUGAAGGGUUAGAAGUUAUCUAUAGAAUAAUCAAUGUAUCAUGUACUGCACUAAGAAUGUUCCUUUUUUUUCCCCAUCAAGACUAGCUUUGGCAGUUCAAUGGGCUAUGCAUGUUAUGAAAUAUUUUACACACAUUCUGUACUUUCUGUCCACCACUUCUUCUGCUGGGUAGCCCCCAUCUCUACCAGCCUCCUGUCCCUGCUUGGGCUCUGUUGCUGGUGGUCCAGGGAGCUAUGCUUUAGCAUAGGGCAGGAUUUCUGGAGUGAAGUCAAGCAAGAAGAGACCGAGAGGAACAGUGCUUGCAUGGAAAGGUAGAAAUCAUAAAAGAGAAAUGUUUGAUGCCAUCCAGGUGUUGGUGCAUCCAUCAAUGAUGAGAGCUCAGCAGCAUCUAGGAUCUAUGCAGGUCAAUGACUGUGCCUUUGGUUAGCUGAGGAGCUCUUCCAACCUGAGCUGCAUUCUGUGCUUGUCAGCCAGUGACUAAUUGGUGGAUCAGUUGCUGCUUGCAGUCUUCUUACACCUGGCUACAGAAGCUGGAUGAGCUGUAGCCAAUCCACUGCAUAUUGUCUGAGAGCAUUCUCUGCCUUCAGUCCCUCCCUAGAAAUUGGUACCCAACUGUUUUCCCUAAAGUUGUUUGAGAAAGAUUUGCCUCCUGUGAAGUGUCACCAUGGAAGAGGAAGGAUGACCUGGCUGGUGCCCAUCUGGUGUCACAUUCCUGGCUUCUGACCUCGAGGUGGGCAGUGCUGACUGCUGGGACUUCAGUAGGAACGAGCAAACAAGAUGACCUCCACUCUCCAACACGUUGCUGUUAUCAGGUGCAUUGUGGCUGCUAAGAGAAAUGGGACUCAACCAUUCUGACAGUGCCAUUUGACCCUUGUGCAACAGCAAAAGUGUGCGAGAGCAGUGCUGAAUGCUGCUGUGCAGCUCCAAGCUGUGCUCCUCUCCUUUUCUGCAGCUUUAUAAGCUGCCUACAGGGUACGGAGCGUUCCAAGCCUGUGACCUAAAUUAUGAGCAGAAGAUAUUAAGCCUGGAUUUUAACUUAAGAGCUGACUACACCCACAGGACAAAUUAAAACACUGUGUUGUUUUUCCACUGAAGCUGGAAUUCCUUCACCACAAAUUCUGUUGGAUUUUGUGUGUUCUGGCAUGAAUAUUGGAGUGCCCAACCACUUAUCUGCGCUGGGUUUGCAGCUCCCUGCCUGCCACCAGUGCUGACUUCUGUCUUGCGUCGCAGCUUUGCUUUGCUGCCCUUCUCACAAAUGCCAGGAGCUGAUCUGUGGAGCGGCUGGGAUUUCUCCAUCACAAAUAUUGCCUGUUCAGAAGGAAGAGAGCCACUCCUGAGUUGUGAUCUUGAGAUUUUCUCAUAAUUGUGUGCCAAAAUGGAGGUCACUCCAGAGUAAAAUCUGCCCAGAUGUGAGCUGUUCAACCCCUCCUGUCCUGGUGAGCAUUUCAGCAUCCUUUGGGUCUCUCACUGGAAGACAGCAACUGUAGACCUGCAGCAAUUCACACAAGAACAGUCUUCCUCCACUGUCUGAAAUCUCAGUAACCUGCUGCUGUGCCCCAGGAACCACAACGCAGCCUCCUGCCCAGGUUGAUGUUGGAACUCAUCUCCUUGG